UAUUUUUUCACUUUAAACUCAUUCUUAUCAUAUCCAUUUUCUCUCUCUAAAGCUUCUCUCUUUAAAUUUAUUCUACUCAGAUCUAUUCUACAACGUCGUUCAGAAGUAUUUCGUCUUGUUGGACGGAAGGCGGCGAUGUUGGAGGAGAAAAAAGGGGCGGUGGUGCGAUCGAAGCAUUUAACGGUUGCUCCGCUGCCAGCUUCUCAGUGUUGGGGGUGCAAGAGAUGUAAUUGUGGAUAUCGGAGAUGGAGGAGAGACGAGAAGAGAGGAAUUAAAACAUGGUGAGGAGUGAACAGAUGAAAAACAAAACAGUGAAGAGAAGUCUAAGCUCUGCCGUACAAUUCCAUACCACCCCAACAAACAUUUUCUUCUCUUUUUGAUCUUUUUUUCUCUCUUUUUCAUUACUUAUUUAUGAAUUUCUCUUUUAUAAGAACACCAAAUUCCUCAGGAUGAAGAACAAUCUCAAAUUAGUCCAGUGCUAUACAAAUUUUAUGGACUUUUUUUCCACCCUUUUUCUCUCUCCUAAUUUUGAAAGGAAUCCGAAGAGCUUAUUUGAAAGUUAUGAUCUGAAGUGGGGGUUCCAUUUUCAAAUUAGGAGUUUGGAUGUUCGCCCUGGUGCUGUUUUGGACGUGGGGUUUAAAUUUGUUCUAGAUCUGGUUAUGUAUACUUAUUAAUAAUCAUGUCCGUUAACCAGUCUUAUGAUGGUGAUUCCUGAUUUAGCCUUCGAAAUCUAGGUUCGAUCAAAGCGCUCUAAUAUGGAAAUGGGUCAUAUGGUUAUGGUGGUUUUGGAUUCUGGGUUCUGGUCUUAUGGCUUGCUCUAGUUGAUCCAUGUUUUAUCCUGAUCUGAGUUCAUGUUUUGCUUACUGAUUUUCUUUGUUCAUAUUCCGAUUGAGUUUUUGUUUUCAUGAUACCGAUUUAGGUAGCUUUCUUCCCAUGAUUUUGGUUUAAAUUGAUCUGAUCUUGUUUUGGCUUUGAAAUCUUGGGUUGGGUUCCAAUAAUUAGAUCUUUAUUUCAUGAUCGAACUUUGUUUAGAUCUAUGGACGAUGAAAUUGUAGAUUUUUUUAAUUUAAAUUAUAAAAUUUGUUAUUACAUUUUUACUCUUUUCAAAAGGCAUGUGGUUGUUGGGCUUGAAUUUAGGUGUCAACCUCGUCUGCAAAAUAUAUUCACGUGUCAGUCACGUUAGUCUAGCUGACAUGUCCGUUAUGGGCAGAGGCAAAGUGUACGUUUGAAAAAAAAAACCAAGGUGAAAGUGAAAUUUCAAAAUAAAUAUGAGGGACAUAUGAGGGACAUUUUCGCACUUUUGCCCAAUAAACAUAACAUUUAAGAAUGCAUACUCUAGCUUUUUAAACUUUUUUAUUUGUAUACUUGGUAUUUUUUUUAUUGUGUAUUUGAUAUAAUUUCUAUUAUUUCCACAAUUAAUUUACUGAAUUGUCAUUUCCAUGAUCUGAUUGAUUGCCUCCUGCAAAAAUUGUGGAUUAUACUACUAUUGUGAAAUAAUUUAAUUAGAACUUUGCUGUAUCGAAGGCUAUAGUACUGAUUAAUUUAUUUUAUUCUCUCAUUAUUUGUUUAUUUUCUAAUAUAAUGAAAGAAAUUAGUUGUACCAAUCACAUACUUCAUUAUAUAUUGUGUAAUUUAUUUUUAUUUUUUAAAAAGUGUGUAUAUUAUCUUUCUUUCUUCUUUUGAAAUAUUUUAAACUAAUUUCAAAAAGUUAAAAUUGAGUUAACAAACAAAUAUGUAUUGAGCAAAAUUGGAGCAAAACGUAGUUUCCAUUUUUUUCAAGAGCUUCAAAUCAAUGUUCAAGAAUAUAUAAUUUGGAGAACAGUAUUCUACAUAUAUUUUUGAUAUAUUCACGUAUUCUCGUAUACUUGUGUGGAAUCCACUGUAUGCUCGUAAAUAGUCGUGACAUAACAUAAAACAAAAGAAGCUAAUACAACAUGAGGCAGAUGAAGUAUAAUGAAGAAGAAACUUGACAAAACUAUUAAUUUAACUCCGCUUGACAGGAUCAAAAUUGGAGAAACCAACAACAGCCCAAAUAAUGGCAACAAGCACGGCGCCGCCUGCGGCAAUGCUGAGCAAGAAGUUAUUGAGAGAUGGGGAGAAGGCAGAAGCUGCUGCGUCGGCCGCAUCCGGCAUCAC
rnacentral:lncRNA from 1 species